GGACUACCCGGGUAUCUAAUCCUGUUCGCUCCCCUAGCUUUCGCACCUGAGCGUCAGUUACCAGCCAGGACACUGCCUUCGCCUUUGGUAUUCCUCCGGAUAUCUACGCAUUUCACCACUCCACCCGGAAUUCUAUGUCCCUCUCUGGUCCUCAAGUCCCGCAGUUUUCAGAGGCCUUGCUCAGUUAAGCCGAGCACUGUCACUCCAAACUUGCGAAACCGCCUGCGUGCGCUUUACGCCCAGUAACUCCGGACAACGCUUGCCCCCUACGUAUUACCGCGGCUGCUGGCAC
rnacentral:rRNA from 1 species